UUCUGGUUUAGUGGCGCACGGGUGCGUAACGCGUAUGCAACCUACCUUCUAUUGGGGGAUAGCCUUCCGAAAGGAAGAUUAAUACCGCAUAACACCAUGACCUGGCAUCGGGAUAUGGUUAAAGCUGAGGCGAUAGAAGAUGGGCAUGCGUGCCAUUAGCUAGUUGGCGGGGUAACGGCCCACCAAGGCGACGAUGGCUAG
rnacentral:rRNA from 1 species